CUACGGGUGGCUGCAGUGAGGAAUAUUGCACAAUGGGGGAAACCCUGAUGCAGCAACGCCGCGUGGAGGAUGACGCAUUUCGGUGUGUAAACUCCUUUUAUCAGAGAAGAAAAUGACGGUAUCUGAUGAAUAAACUCCGGCUAACUCCGUGCCAGCAGCCGCGGUAAUACGGAGGGAGCAAGCGUUAUUCGGAAUCACUGGGCGUAAAGGACGCGUAGGCGGGUUGUUAAGUCAGGUGUGAAAUCCUAUGGCUCAACCAUAGAACUGCACUUGAAACUGGGGACCUAGAGUAUGGAAGGGGCAGGUGGAAUUAGUGGUGUAGGGGUAAAAUCCGUAGAUAUCACUAGGAAUACCGAAAGCGAAGGCGACCUGCUGGGACAUUACUGACGCUGAGGCGUGAAAGCGUGGGGAGCAAACAGGAUUAGAUACCCUGGUAGUC
rnacentral:rRNA from 1 species